rnacentral:rRNA from 1 species
UACGUAGGGUGCGAGCGUUGUCCGGAAUUAUUGGGCGUAAAGAGCUCGUAGGCGGUUCGUCACGUCGGGAGUGAAAACUCGGGGCUUAACCCCGAGCCUGCUUCCGAUACGGGCAGACUAGAGGUAGGCAGGGGAGAGCGGAACUCCUGGUGUAGCGGUGGAAUGCGCAGAUAUCAGGAAGAACACCGGUGGCGAAGGCGGCUCUCUGGGCCUUACCUGACGCUGAGGAGCGAAGCGUGGGUAGCGAACAGG